ensembl:lncRNA
GCUACAGUGCACAGUACACUUUCCCUGAACACUUUGACCCUGCUUGACUGAGUUCAGAUCCAUAGAUUAGGUUGUCUAGAAUGGCUGUCAUGUCACGAUUUUGAGAAAGACUGUUCAGAUUUGCUAUAUGUGACACAGGUUUCUUUUAUGCAGACAGAAAACAGCUGAUAGGAAAAUGUAGCUUAGGUGAUUGUCUACAAACAGCCUGACAAGUCUGUGAGAAUGCUGGCCUGCAAUGACACAGAGACUUGGACUCCAAAUUAGAGAUGUGUGAACAGCACAAUCUUUUUCCCAGUAGCACUGACAUUAAUGAGGAGCUCAGGUGUCAGGGGAAGAGACGUGUGUCAGACGUCAGGAGAUACCACUGUGGAGCCACAGAAGGGGAGCAACAAAAGGGGCUCAGAGAAGAGUGGGUGAGGUGUUUGUUGCAUAUCCUGAGAACGUGUGGCCAUGGGGGGUGUCAUUAGAGCCACUUGUUGGGCUGGUGGGUGGCCAGCAUGUGUGGAGAUUCGGACGCCUGUAAAUGUCACAGAAGAAAGUCCUACUGUGCAUAGAACUCAUUUCCUGUUAACAGCCAGCUCUCUCUAGUUCUGCAUUAUUGAUAAAGGCCAUACGUAUGCUUGCAAACACAAACACACACACUCUUAUGCAAACAAUACCAAACUAUCUUGACAAGUAAUUCACUAAGAACAACAACAACUCUGGCAAACUGUUAGAUCUGGAAACUUCUUAAUAAUUUAGAGCCUUAAGAAAAGAGUUCUGGUAAAUAAAAUUUUGAUAAGCAAGUCAAGCCUUUUUAUUUGAGGGUCAAUUUUUCUUUUUUUUUUUUUUUUGAGAAAUACACCAUGUAGUUGUUAUACCUAUCAAUCAUCUUCAAACAGCUUAAGAUACACAAAACACUUAACAACAUGAACAAUAGUCAGUAUACGGGUUUGUAAACUGUCAGAGUAGCAUGCAGUAGAUGGUGAACUGAGUUUUCUGUGUAAACAUGCACUAAACAGACACAUUUGACUGCAGCACUUAUGUCUUUUGCGUGGGGACAGGAUGUUCUAAAAAUGUUGCACUAAAGUUAAAAUAAUUUCAGCAUUUAAAAAACAAAGGUCUCUAGGCCUUGCAUGCCUAUGCCUUGCCUUUUAAUUACAAAUACGUGUUCUGUGUGAACAGCCCAAUGGUCUCUUCGAUAAAACACAAAAGUUUUGCAUUUGUCUGCAACAGACGGGCUGAAUGAAAACGCUAAUUCUCUCUCUGACAGUGGUGCUCAUAGAAAGCAGAAAUACAGUAGUGUACAAGGGGUAGCAUGUGCAAAUUUUUGUUUCAGACACCCACAUGUUAGAGGAAGAGAAGUUAAACAUUAGUUAUAUGUUUUCAUACAGCCAUUCAAAUUUUUUAUUCACUGUGGUGUUUAGGAAAUAACACCAAAUGUAAAAGUACAGAGACGAGAUUCUUCCUUUCCUGUUCACUAUUGCUUGGCAAAAUAUUCUCUUCAUAAGCACCACCAAAUUGCAGUUUUAAGUAACAGCAGCAAAAUUUGGUUGAGUCGUACAACUCAGAAAUCGGCUCAAAAUUGGAUGGAAAUUGCAGUGUAUGCUCAACUUUAACUUUAAGUUUAAGUUUAGUUAAUUCAUUUACAUAUGGCCCACAUACACUCUGAAGGUGAAAGAGAUGCACAUUAAAUCAUAACCCAAGGUUAUCCAUUCAUUCACUCAAAAAAAUAAAAUAAAAUAAAAAAUAAAUAAAUAAAAUAUAUCUACCAAUUCAAAUCACAAACUGUCACUUUAAGGGGCCACUGAAUUGAGGUCAUGUCUCAAUUACUUUCUAGUGAGGAAAAAAUAAUCCAAAUUGAUUUGAUACUAUCUUAUCUGUUUAGACAAAGCGACAAGUCUGUUGUCGCCUAUGGAGCUUUCAGGCGUUCUGAGCUGUGAGGAAAAGAAAAACAGCAGGGUAGGAGAAUCGUGUUGGAAAUGUCUAUGAGGAAUUCACGCCUCGACUGCCCAGACAUACUGUUAUUUCCCAGAGUGGUGCUAGGGGCUAACACCCUUCUCAGCAGCCAGAGAUAUGACACACACACACACACACACACACACACACACACACAGGACACAGAAGAGUUUAGGACACAGGCCCAUCAAUUUUCUGUUUUUUUCACAAGGGAUGUCUUCUCACAGUUGCCUUUGUUCAAAAAGUGUUUAGUGUGCACGGCUUUGCAUAUGUGUGUGUUGUUUUAUAUCAAAAUGUUAAUUUGACCCAGGUGUAACACCAUCUCCCCAGAACAUGUUGGUGCCUGUCUUUCCAGACUAAUUAUAUAGAUGAUGGAGUAUUUCACUUGUUUACUUCCUGACAUCUUCUUUCAUAAAUCAUGACAAUUAUUGUUAUUUCCUGAGAAAUCAUUGUAUAUUCAUAAUAUUCUUGUAUGCAGGGUUAAAUAUUGGCAAUAGCAAAGUGCAUUUCUUCAAACUCAAUAAAAACAGCAAAGUAUGGAGCCACUUUUUGUUCAUGUAUCUGCAUCUGUUGGCAAAUUAUUUUGUAUCUACAUUUGGAUUACAACUGGAUGUGGGUGGGGCUUAAAGGGAUAGUUCACCCAAAAAUGAAAAUUUGAUGUUUAUCUGCUUACUCCCAGGGCAUCCAAGAUGUAGGUGACUUUUUUUCCUCCUUUUUUUUAACUGUUUAUUGAAUUUUCUUCUGGAUAUAGUAAUAUAAAACAAAUAGCAACUGUGCAAAUU